rnacentral:rRNA from 1 species
GACGAACGCUGGCGGCGUGCUUAACACAUGCAAGUCGAACGGAAAGGCCCUGCUUUUGUGGGGUGCUCGAGUGGCGAACGGGUGAGUAACACGCGAGUAACCUGCCCUUGACUUUGGGAUAACUUCAGGAAACUGGGGCUAAUACCGGAUAGGAGCUCCUGCUGCAUGGUGGGGGUUGGAAAGUUUCGGCGGUUGGGGAUGGACUCGCGGCUUAUCAGCUUGUUGGUGGGGUAGUGGCUUACCAAGGCUUUGACGGGUAGCCGGCCUGAGAGGGUGACCGGCCACAUUGGGACUGAGAUACGGCCCAGACUCCUACGGGAGGCAGCAGUGGGGAAUAUUGCACAACGGGCGGAAGCCUGAUGCAGCAACGCCGCGUGCGGGAUGACGGCCUUCGGGUUGUAAACCGCUUUCGCCUGUGACGAAGCGUGAGUGACGGUAAUGGGUAAAGAAGCACCGGCUAACUACGUG